AUGACGGUCUUCAGAUUGUAAACUGCUUUUAUAUGGGAGGAUUAUGACGGUACCAUAUGAAUAAGGACCGGCUAACUACGUGC
rnacentral:rRNA from 1 species